GACGUAGGGCGCAAGCGUUGUCCGGAUUCAUUGGGCGUAAAGGGUGUGUAGGUGGCGCCGUUAGUCGGGUGUGAAAUUUCGGAGCUUAACUCCGAAACUGCAUUCGAUACUGCGGUGCUUGAGGACUGGAGAGGAGACUGGAAUUCAUGGUGUAGCAGUGAAAUGCGUAGAGAUCAUGAGGAAGACCAGUGGCGAAGGCGGGUCUCUGGACAGUUCCUGACGCUGAGGCACGAAGGCCAGGGGAGCAAACGGG
rnacentral:rRNA from 1 species